CUGUAACAAGUGCAGUGAAGAAAGAGACCAGCAAGAGAAUAAAUCUGAGAGACCUGAUCUAGAAUAGAGGAGGCCUCUCCCAGGAUGCAACAUUGAAGCUGAGACCUGAAGGAUGAGCAGGGCUGAGAUGGAUGAAGAGAGAGAGAAGCACAUAACAGGUCGUUGCUGCCAUGAAGUAAGAGUCUGUCUGGAAAUGAAGGCGAGCAGAGGCCACAAAGCUGAGACAUGGAGACAGAGAGAGUCCUGAUGUUAUUAUUUGAACCAUUGAGUCCAGCUGUGCCUGAAACUCUUCAGUGAGCCAAGAAAUUCCUUUUUGGCUUAAGCCAAUUGGAGUCGUGUUUGUGAUACUUGCAAAUGAAAGGAGUUAUUGACUAAUAAAACUGCCAUUUCUAUCUCUCCAAGAAUUAGGAAAUACUUCUUUAAAACUGUUUAUUUGCAGUAUGCUUUAUUCCUUCCCACAAAAAAGAGGCAGCUUAUAAAAGUAAAUAUGAAAAAUAGGCACAAAGGGUGUAUAAUACAUGAAAUACAUGUGUAUAUGUCUAGCACAGUCUUUAUAUUAAGUUGACAAAAAUUAUUAUUAUUAUUAUUAUUUUUGCAACAGAGUUUCACUCUUGUCACCCAGGCUGGAGUUCAAUGGCAUGAUCUCGGCUCACUGCAACCUCCACCUCCUGGGUUCAAGUGAUUCUCCAGCUUCAGCCUCCCGAGUAGCUGGAAUUACAGGUGCCCGCCACCACCAGCCCAGUUAAUUUUUGUAUUUUUGGUAGAGAUGGGGUUUCACCAUGUAGGCCAGGCUGGUCUUGAAUUCCUGACCUCAGGUGAUCUGCCUACCUUGGCCUCCCAAAGUGCUGGGAUUACAGGCGUAAGUCACUGCACCUGGCCCAAAAAUUAUUUUUUAAGUUACAGUACGAACUACUGCUGAGGGUGCUGGGUAAUUAACAUUGUUGGAGAAAUUAUAAACUGGUGCAAACCUUCUGGAGAUAAAUUUGACAAUGCUUAUUCAUAUCCAUUGUUUGUCUAUAAUCAACCAUUCUUCUUUUAGGAAUGCAUCUGAAAGAAAUAAUUACAUAAAUAAGGAGAUAUGCAAAGAUUUAGCUAUGAGAAUGAUUGUUUAAUCACCAGAAGUUGGAAAACAGCCUGAAUAUCCAAUGACAUAAAAACAAAAUUGGCGGGGCGCGGUGGCUCACGCCUGUAAUCCCAGCACUUUGGGAGGCCGAGGCGGGCGGAUCACAAGGUCAGAGAUCGAGACCAUCCUGGCUAAGACGGUGAAACCCCAUCUCUACUAAAAAUCAAAAAAUUAGCCGGGCCUGGUGGCGGGUGUCUGUAGUCCCAGCUACUUGGGAGGCUGAGGCAGGAGAAUGGCCUGAACCCAGGAGGCGGAGCUGGCAGUGAGCCGAGAUGAUGCCACUGCACUCCAGCCUGGGCGACAGAGAGAGACUCUGUCUCAAAAAAAAAAAAAAAAAAUUAUCUGUCCACCAAUUGGAAUACCAUGUAUUUAUUAAAAUAAUGAUGUGGAAUUUUAUUUACUGACUUGGAACAAUAUUCAUAUAUUGUGAACUGGCUUUGGACUAAUACAUUUAAAUUCUCCCUAGGCUGACUGGGCGCGGUGGUCCGUGCCUGUAAUCCCAGCACUAUGGGAGGCUGAGACGGGUGGAUCACUUGAGAGCAGGAAUUUGAGACCAGCCUGGCCAAGAUGGUGAAACUCCAUCUCUACAAAAAUACAAAAAUUAGCCAGGCAUGGUGGCAUGCACCUGUAAUCCCAGCUACUCAGGAGGCUGAGGCAGGAGAAUCGCUUGAACCCGGGAGGUGGAGGUUGCAGUGAGCCGAGAUUGCACCACUGCACUCCACCGUGGGUGACAGAGUGAGAUGCUGUCUCAAUAAAAUAAAAUAAAACAAUUAAUUCUCCCUAGGCUGCAGCAAGAAUCGAAUGAAUCACUCUUAACCCCAUGCCAAACAAACAAACAAACAAACAAAAAAACCCUACUUGUUGGUUGUGGGCCUUAAAAAGAGAGCUGUAUAGAAGUGGCAAAAAUUAAGUUUGUGUAUCCUUGCUUGGGUCAAAUUUGGCUGUCCAUAGAUAUGAGGUUAAUUUUUUCCUGUUAGAGCAUGUGCUGGUUCUAUCUAUACAUGCUCCAAUUUUCAAAUAUUUCACUAAUAUUAGGAGAUUAUCUGUUGGCAUUGAGUUGGGUCUCAAAGUAUCAUCUAUUCUAGACCAAUGGUCACCAAAAUGUAUGUAUCCUCAAAAUAAAGCACUGGU
rnacentral:lncRNA from 1 species